UACGGGGGGAGCAAGCGUUGUUCGGAUUUACUGGGCGUAAAGGGCGCGUAGGCGGCCUCCGCAGGUCAGUUGUGAAAUCUCCGAGCUUAACUCGGAAAUGUCAACUGAUACUGCGGGGCUAGAGUGCGGAAGGGGCAACUGGAAUUCUUGGUGUAGCGGUGAAAUGCGUAGAUAUCAAGAGGAACACCUGCGGCGAAGGCGGGUUGCUGGGCCGACACUGACGCUGAGGCGCGAAAGCUAGGGGAGCGAACGGG
rnacentral:rRNA from 1 species